CAGCAGCCGCGGUAAUACAGAGGUGGCUAGCGUUGUUCGGAUCUACUGGGCGUAAAGCGUGCGUAGGCGGUCGAGUAAGUCGGAUGUGAAAGCCCGGGGCCCAACCCCGGAAUUGCGUCCGAAACUGCCCGACUUGAGUGCAGGAUGGGAGAGGGGAAUUCAUGGAGUAGCGGUGAAAUGCGUUGAUAUCAUGAAGAACACCGGUGGCGAAGGCGCCUCUCUGGAAUGCAACUGACGCUGGAGCACGAAAGCAUGGGGAGCGAACAGGAUUAGAUACCCUGGUAGUCCAUGCCGUAAACGGUGCGCACUUGGUGUUGGAAGGGUCAGCUCUUUCAGUGCCGGAGCUAACGCGUUAAGUGCGCCGCCUGGGGAGUACGGCCGCAAGGCUAAAACUCAAAGAAAUUGACGGGGGCCCGCACAAGCGGAGGAGCAUGUGGCUUAAUUCGAUGCAACGCGAAGAACCUUACCCAGGCUUGACAUAUAACUGCAAGUCCUGUGAAAGCAGGAUUCCUUCGAGGGUGUUAUACAGGUGCUGCAUGGCUGUCGUCAGUUCGUGCCGUGAGGUGUUUGGUUAAGUCCAGCAACGAACGCAACCCCUGUGUCCAGUUGCCAUCAGGUAACGCUGGGAACUCUGGACAGACUGCCUGUGCAAUCAGGAGGAAGGUGGGGACGACGUCAAGUCAGUAUGGCCCUUACGCCUGGGGCUGCACACGUGCUACAAUGGUCGGUACAGAAGGAUGCAACACCGCGAGGUUGAGCAAAUCCCCAAAGCCGGCCCCAGUUCGGAUUGAAGUCUGCAACUCGACUUCAUGAAGUUGGAUUCGCUAGUAACGGCGUAUCAGCUACGACGCCGUGAUACGUUCCCGGGCCUUGUACACACCGCCCGUCACAUCAUGAAAGCCGUCUGCACCCGAAGUCGUUGACCCAACCCGCAAGGGAGGGAGGCGCCGAAGGUGUGGGUGCUGCUUGGGAUGAAGUCGUAANCAAGUAACCACAGGG
rnacentral:rRNA from 1 species